rnacentral:rRNA from 1 species
GACAGAGGUGCCAAGCGUUAGGCGGAAUCACUGGGCUUAAAGCGUGUGUAGGUGGAUGCCUAAGUACCUUGUGAAAUCCCACGGCUCACCCGUGGAACUGCUGGGUAUACUGGGUGUCUUGAGCCACUUAGGGGUCGCUGGAACAAACGGUGGAGCGGUGAAAUGCGUAGAUAUCGUUUGGAACGCCAAUGGUGAAAACAGGCGACUGGGAGUGUGCUGACACUGAGACACGAAAGCCAGGGGAGCGAACAGG